AUUUUUUUUUUCAGUUUCUAGAAUUGACCCUUUAGCAGUGCUCCAAGUUGAGCUCAAACAGGCUCUACUCCUAUGGCACCUCCUCAGUAUUAGAUUGGGCACACCAAGCAGGGUCAUAGUCUUAGCUGCACGGCUUUCUGCAAUCCUUAGAGAGGUUGAAAGAUAUCAAAGCUGUCUGUCAAUAGUCCCCCAGCAGCUGGGACAGUUAAGUCCUCACUGAAUGAGGACUUCAUGAGUAUGCCACAGUGGCUACCCCAGCAGAGUGAAGAGUUUAAUGUAUCUUCCCCAAUGGAGGUAGCCAGCACACCCUUCAAACUCAAGUCACUAACUCGGAACACCCAACAUAUAAUCCAUACUAUGGAUACUUGUAUUCUAUGGACCCAAAAAGGGACCUUGCAUUCCUUCCAACAGACCCCUUCUAAUCCCCAUCCAGGCAGGCCACCUUUACAAUGGAAACAGCCUCCCAUUUUCCUGUCCAGCCUUUCUCAUUCGCUUCUGAGACUGGAGUUGGGUCCUGCGUCCUUAUAAGCUUCUAAGGGACCACAGUCCUGGGCCAGCCUCCCCCAGUCCUUACUCAAGUGUCCAUGCUGUUUCCAUUCUGCCAUAAGUGGAUGAAGUAGAGAGAGCCAUGCCACCACACCCACCGGCCAGUAACUUCCAUCUACUCCGCAGUUAGCUCCUCUACUCUGUCCACACUCAUCCUGGGAGUGCAGCAGGGCUGAGCUCCCCAUUUCCCCUUCUGACCACAUCCCACUGCCUACCUAGUGGGGGCUCAUAGACAACAACACACCUUCAUGAUGGACGUGGCUAAAGGUGAGAUGGCAAGAGAUUCUGAGGGGCUUUCAGUGACAAGUCUGCAAAGUUGAGAAUGAGUUACAUUUAUAAUAAUAUAUAGGCCCAAGGACAUUAAUUAGUAGCUGAGAGAAAGAGAGAAAGGGGCAUAACCCAAAUCCAUCAGCGACUGGCACUCCAUAUCCAGGUAGUGAUCCACUCACCCAUUGCAUCAGUCAGCACUAGCUGAUACCUAAUUUCAGCCAGUCCCAUGCUGGUAUCUAGGGAGACAAAAGUCAUAUGAGCUCUUUCCCCUGUGGUUCUAAUUCCUCCCAUAAAUGCCAUGUUUCCAUCCACUUUUCCCUCAGAGGAAACUCUGGUCCUCCCUCUGUCUUCUCACUCCCUGCCUCCUGUGGAAGAAGGUUUGUCCAAUUCAAUUGAUCAUGUGAGAUUUUGAAUGACUUUAAAGUGAUUAAUUGGAUUAGGAAAGGAGCUACAUUUUCCUAGUGAGCAGGAAAACUAUCCCAAAUAAUGCUACUCUUCCUUCAUUCUCCUUUGCCAUCCAGCCUCUGUCACCAUACAUUAUCCUCCUCCUUCCUGCCUCUCUAUACAAAACCAUCAGGGUAGGUCCCCUCUUGGGGGACAAACCUACCACUAUCCCUCUCUCCUCUUCCCUACUCCCCUAGUAAAUUUUAUGCUUGAUGUAGCCAUGCCUGAAGUCCUAUUUCACAAGGUUAGGAAUUUGGUAUCUACCCUACAAGCCAUGCUAUGUUUCUUGUGGUUUGCUAAAUACACAUCAAGUAACAAGGAAAUACCACUCGGCCCAAGGUCUAAGUCACAAGCUCAAGCUCCUACAUAGUUUGCUGGAGUCUCCAGUUUUGAUGGUUAUUGCGCAUUGUGCAAUGCUUACCAAAAUAGAUAAAGGGAUCCUCAUUCAGUCACUAGUUCUUUGUGUCUAUGUUCUUUAAUGGUCAGACUUUGAGUGGGAAUAAGAAGGCAGUGCUUCUUUUGCUCCAAAUCCCCAAGAACACAUCAUUUCUAUUGUCAUGAAAUUUAUAGUCUAAUGGUUGAAAAAAUAAAAAGAGUAAAACUAUAAUCCAGCCUAAGGGAGCCGUCAGGAAAGGCUUCUUGGAAGCAGUAAAUGUAGAAAAGAGACUUGAGUGAUUAAUAAGGUAAAUGCAAGUCAUGGAGAACAAGGGGAUACAGUCCAGUCAGAGGGAACUGCAUUAGCUAAAGUUCAGGGUUCAGUUACAGCAUAAUGUGAGGGAAGAGCAAUAAGUACUCAGGGAUGAUGUGUGAGAGCUUGUGUCCCAUCAGAUUAAGCUCAUGAAACACUUAUACUUGCAGGGGGUAAGGAGAAAGUAUGCAUCUUAUUCUCUGAUUCAUCUCUAAAUCUCUGAGGAUGUACUGGAGCAUUAAGUUACCAUUAUUCACCCGCAAUGUACCCAUCAAUGCUCUUGUGUGGUUCUCACAUCUUGAAAAACAUACCAGACUUGAGUUUCCUUUAGUGCCCUGAGCAAGACCUAAAUGCCACUCAAGCCAGGACAAUGCAUUUCAGAUAUUGGAAUGGUUCUGGGCUUCCCAGCAGGGGGGAGGCUGCAGGAGAAGCCUUAAGUAAAAAAUGACUAUUUACAAUCAGGCCUCUAUCACCUUCCCUCUUGCCUACUCCCAACUCUGUCUAACUGGUCUAUCUACUUCCAUCUGAUCCACUUUUAUUUAGCCUUCAAACCAGCCAUACUACAAACCAUACCACAUCAGAAUAUAGUGCUUCAAUAGCUCCCCAGUGCUAACAGGAGAGAGCCCAAUUUCUUCAUUAUGAGGUAACAGGUUGCAUUCUUCAAGAUGUAGACCCUGAGACAAUAGCUAUCAUACAGGAGUGUAUUAGAGAGCAUUCUUGGGAUUAAUCCACGUGGAAAGGAAAGGUGGGAAGGAAGAAGAAUUGAAGAGAAGGAGUUCCUGUCUUGGCUCAGCGGUAAUGAACCAGACUAGUAUCCAUGAGGAUGCUGGUUCAAUCCCAGACCUUGAUCAAAGUGGGUAAAGGAUCCAGCAUUGCCAUGAGAUGUGGUGCAACUCGGAUAUGGCAUUGCUUUGGCUGUGGCAUAGGCUGGCAGCUGUAGCUCUGAUUCAACCCCUAGCCAGGGAAUUUUCAUAUGCCACAAGUGCAGCCCUGAAAGGCAAAAAAAAAAAAAAAAAAAAUUUGAAAAAAAGUUGUGAUGCCGUCCCAACAAAGGCCUGGGUCAAGUCCAAAGGAAACUCUGAAGCCAGAUGACCUCUCAGAGUUGAACCAAGUUGGGAAAAGAGACCAAACCUUCAUAACCCUAUGUCAACAAAUCCUGGAUGCAGACCAUCCUGAGAAAGGGAGAAUGACCAUGGGCAAGGGAACACAAUCCAAGGCAAAUCCCUGAAAGAAGCUGAUGGCUGAGAUCUGUCUGCCAGGAGUGUUCCCAGUAGUUGGGGGGAUAAGGCCAUCAUACCUGAAAGGAGAUCUGAAGUAGUUGGGGGGAUAAGGCCAUCAUAUCUAAAAGGAGAUCUGAGCAUCUAGUACAAAUGGCAUUCAAUGAUUUUGAUGCUUUUGAUGACCUACUAUAUUAGUUUUCCAGGGCUGCCAUAACAAAGCACCACAGAGUGGAUGCCUCAAGCAACAGAAAUGUCUUUUAUUACAGUUUUGGAGGCUAAAAGUCUGAGGUCAAGGUGUGAGAAAGGUUGACCUCUCUUCUAGCUUUGUAGCUAUCCAUCUUUUCUCUGGGUAUUCACGGGGUCUUCCCUCUAUACACGUGUCUGUGGCCUAAUUUCCUUUUUUAAGGACAAUUGUCGCAUUGAAUUCGGGGUAGCUCUAAUGACCUCAUCUUAUCUUCACUACCUCUUUAAAGACCUUCUCUUCAAACAUUGUCACAUUCCAAGGUCCCAGGAGUGAGGACUUUGACCCAUGAAUUUUGAGAAAGCACAAUUCAGCCUUUAACACCUACCUAGUUCUUAUUAUUUUCCACUAUCAAUGGUUCUCCAAACAUCUCUGGUUAAAUCCCACCAAAUAACGAUCUGAUUCUUUUUUUCCCCUCUGAAUCUUCUUUGCUUACGUCUCAACAAGUUAAAUCUCUAAGGGAUGCAACCCACAUGGAUUCUGUGGUGAGUGGCCUUACAGGAAGGCUGAUUUAGAAUUUGGCACAUACCAGACAACUGUUCCAUGGAAGCAGGUUACCUUCCCUUAGAUGACUCUGGUUUUAUUUGGUUUGCCUCCAGAAGUCACUGUUUCAUAUAUAUAAAUGCGGGUCUUCCCUAAAUAAAAUUCGGUCUUCUUUCAGACAUAAACACUUUCAGGUUUAAGAAUAGCUGUGUGCUCCCUCUGAUUUAGAAGACCUUGCAAAAAUGGCUUUGGGCCACAGCCUUCCAGAUAUAACUGGCAUUUUAGAAGCCCUGAUCCCAGCAGGCCCCGGCAGGAUCCAAGAGGGCAAAAAGAGAGCCACUGGCUGACUCUGGAACUUGCUGGGCUGGUCUACACCUCUGUGCUUUGCAUAUGCUGUGUUCUCUGCUGGAAAUGCACUCCCCACUUUCUCCAAUGAAUAUCUUCCCAUGACCUGUGUCUCUUUCAGGACUCAUCCAUGUGCCCACUCUUCUAUGAAGCCUUCAUCGCAGGGCCUGGUCUCUUCAUGUCCUUCUCUCUCAGAUCCCAAAAUGACAGACACUUGUCUCAGAAGCUCUACUAGGUGCCAGGAAUCAGUAAAUGUGGGUUGCUUGGCAGGUGGUUGAUGGACCAAGUGAUCUGCCAGGGGGUCUACCCUGACCCUUAUUUUCUCUCUAGACUAGACCUCAGUGUGGAUGUCUGUGACAUAGUCUGAUGCUUUCACUCUGGGGAAAGGUAAAGUGUGUUUGGGUACCAUGUUUCCUAGUCUAGUCUGUAUUUGUAGAAGGGAAAAUAAUGGUUCCCCCCAAAAUAUCCACGCCCUAACUCCUGGAAUAUGCAAAUAUGUUAGGUUAAUUAGCAAGGAGGAGUUAAGGUUGCAGAUGGAAUUGACUGUUACUAAACUGACCUUAAAAUAGUGAUAAGUAUCCUGGAUGAUCCAGGAAGGCCCAGUGUAAUCACAAAGGCCCUUAAAAGCAGAAAAGGGAGGAGUUCCCAUCAUGGCACAGUGGAAACAAAUCCAACUAGGAACCAUGAGGCCAGGGAUUGAACCCUCGUCCUCAUGGGUACUAGUCGGAUUCGUUUCCACUGAGCCAUGAUGGCAGCUCCUAAAUAGACCUCUUCUAAUCACUACCCUCACACCCUAGUACUACUUAUAUGUGUCAGAGAGGGAGAGCCUCGGUUACCAACAUUUGGGAAGUUUCCCGAUUCAGUGACCUGGGCCUCUGAAGGUCCCUGAGAAGCUGUAUUAUCAAUGCAUUUGGCAAAUUUCUUGGAAGGUAUGUUCUGUGCAGGCAUUAUGAUAGGACAUAUGUAAUUUUACAGGGUCAAAUAUGUUUCAGCUUGUUCACAGUCUAUAGGCUAGAUGAGGUAUGUGUGUAGCAGUCAAAACAAGGUUCCUAAGAGGGGCAAUUGUUCCUAACAGGGAUCUGUUGGGACACAGUUUAUUAUUAGGAUUUCAUCACCUGCUAAAGUAACUCACUCUGUAAGAAGUUUCUGACUGGCCAUGAGUUGUUAUAACGAAUUACCUUAAGCAACCUAAGAGUCCAUCAACAGAGGAUGGAUAAAGAAGAUGUGGUGUAUAUAUAUACACAAUGGAAUAUUACUCAGCCAUAAAAAAUGAAAUAAUGCCAUCUGCAGCAACAUGGAUGGACCUAGAGAUUAUCACACUAAAUGAAGUAAGCCAUACAAAGACAAAUAUCCUAUGAUAUCACUUAUAUGUGGAAUCUAAAAAGAAAAGAUACAAAUGAACUUAUUAACAAACUAGAAAUAGAUCCAAAGACACAGAAAACAAAUUCACCAUUACCAUAAGACAGAGAAAGACAAAUAUCAUAUGAUAUUGCUUACACACAGAAUGGUUACCGAAGGGGAGGGGUAGACAAGAAUAAAUUAGGAGACUGGGAUUAAAAUAUAUGCACCACUGUGUAUAAAAUGGAUAACCAAAAAAAAGGAUUCACCAUAUAGCACAGGAAACUAUACUCGAUAUUUUGUAAUAACCUAUAAAGGAGGAGAAUGUAAAAAAUGAAUGUGUGGGAGUUCCCGUCAUGGCGCAGUGGUUAACGAAUCUGACUAGGAACCAUGAGGUUGCAGGUUCGAUCCCUGGCCUUGCUCAGUGGGU
rnacentral:lncRNA from 1 species